GGCUGGCCAAAAAGUUCGUUCAGCUUUUUCUGUGACGUUGGAAGAAACUGAAUGAACUUUUUGGUCAACUCGAU
rnacentral:miRNA from 1 species